rfam:Lonsdalea quercina strain ATCC 29281 genome assembly, contig: Ga0052894_scaffold00005.5
AAACCCAAACUCCUAGCCUGAAUGCCUACGUUAUGCUCGGUCGCGUAAUAGGGCGUUCAGGCCGUGGCCCGCUCGGCCACCAGGGUGCGCGGUAGAAAUGCCCGCAUCUCCCGUAUUUGGAAAGGUGUUUAUGGUGAAUCAAC